rnacentral:rRNA from 1 species
AGAGUUUGAUCCUGGCUCAGAACGAACGCUGGCGGCGUGCUUAACACAUGCAAGUCGAACGCGAAAGUUUUCUUCGGAAAGCGAGUAGAGUGGCGCACGGGUGAGUAACGCGUAAGUAAUCUACCCUGGUAUCUGGGAUAACCCACCGAAAGGUGUGCUAAUACCGGAUACGCUGAUUUAUCAGGAAAGGUGGCCUCUUCAUGAAAGCUACUGUACCAGGAGGAGCUUGCGUACCAUUAGCUAGUUGGUAGGGUAAUGGCCUACCAAGGCGACGAUGGUUAGCGGGUCUGAGAGGAUGAUCCGCCACACUGGAACUGGAACACGGACCAGACUCCUACGGGAGGCAGCAGUGAGGAAUAUUGCGCAAUGGGGGAAACCCUGACGCAGCGACGCCGCGUGGAUGAUGAAGGCCUUCGGGUCGUAAAAUCCUGUCAGAUGGAAAGAAAUGUAUAGAGGCUAAUACCCUUUAUAUUUGACGGCACCAUCAAAGGAAGCACCGGCUAACUCCGUGCCAGCAGCCGCGGUAAUACGGAGGGUGCAAGCGUUGUUCGGAAUUACUGGGCGUAAAGCGCGCGUAGGCGGCUAUUUAAGUCAGAUGUGAAAGUCCACGGCUCAACCGUGGAAGUGCAUUUGAAACUGGAUAGCUUGAGUACUGGAGGGGGUGGUGGAAUUCCCGGUGUAGAGGUGAAAUUCGUAGAUAUCGGGAGGAAUACCGGUGGCGAAGGCGACCACCUGGCCAGAUACUGACGCUGAGGUGCGAAAGCGUGGGGAGCAAACAGGAUUAGAUACCCUGGUAGUCCACGCCGUAAACGAUGUCAACUAGGUGUUGGGGAGGUUAAUCUUCUCAUUGCCGCAGCUAACGCAUUAAGUUGACCGCCUGGGGAGUACGGUCGCAAGAUUAAAACUCAAAGGAAUUGACGG